GAUGAACGCUGGCGGCGUGCCUAAUACAUGCAAGUCGAGCGAAUGGAUUGAGAGCUUGCUCUUAUGAAGUUAGCGGCGGACGGGUGAGUAACACGUGGGUAACCUGCCCAUAAGACUGGGAUAACUCCGGGAAACCGGGGCUAAUACCGGAUAACAUUUUGAACCGCAUGGUUCGAAAUUGAAAGGCGGCUUCGGCUGUCACUUAUGGAUGGACCCGCGUCGCAUUAGCUAGUUGGUGAGGUAACGGCGCACCAAGGCAACGAUGCAUAGCCGACCUGAGAGGGUGAUCGGCCACACUGGGACUGAGACACGGCCCAGACUCCUACGGGAGGCAGCAGUAGGGAAUCUUCCGCAAUGGACGAAAGUCUGACGGAGCAACGCCGCGUGAGUGAUAAAGGCUUUCGGGUCGUAAAACUCUGUUGUUAGGGAAGAACAAGUGCUAGUUGAAUAAGCUGGCACCUUGACGGUACCUAACCAGAAAGCCACGGCUAACUACGUGCCAGCAGCCGCGGUAA
rnacentral:rRNA from 1 species